rnacentral:lncRNA from 1 species
ACAAAUAAUGGGAUAUCGUAUGCUACUAAUUUCAUUAACUUUGGACUAAUAGUUAUAAUAGGACAAUUUAUUUGAAUAUGAUUAAAUAAAUAAAAAUUGAUGAGACCUUAAAAUCCCUCAACCAACAUACAAUAUUAAGUUGAAAGCGUAAGAGUGCUUUGAACACUUUUUCGUGGCCUUCCACCGUGGUAGGCUCCAAUCGUUUGUGACUUGUACACCGCC